UUGAAAUUUGUAGGUGUUUAUGGAAUUUGUGCUAGGUAAUAUUUGCUGCACUUGCGGUUACAAAUUUGCUUCGAUUUGUGCUCCAAUUUGCACCUUCAAUUGCCUUUGGCGGACUGCUAUCUGCUCCUAGUUGUGGUUGCCAUUUUCUUCAAAUUAUUGCUGCCAUUGAUGCUAUUGUAUUUCCUGCCUAAACUCCUUUACUUCACUACUACCAAUUAUUUGCUUUAAGGUUAGUUUAUUAAUAGAUUUUUUCUUUCUUUCUAUUAAAAAGAAUUGAUGUUGUUAUUGAUUGGUUUGGUUGGAUUAGAAUAAUUAAAGUUAUUGUCGACUGAGUGUUAGUUCGGUUAGCAUUGACAUUGUUACCUAUACAGAAAGAUGUGGGUUCGAACGUGCUGAAACGUAUUUAUCCUCCUAUUUAAGACUUGGGAGGAACUAUAGUUAGUUCUAGGUUAAUUUAAUUUAGAUUAAUUAUAUUGUUAAGGUUUAUUCUAUAGGAAAUACGAUUUAGAUUAGUCUAAUGUUAGUUUUUGUAAGAAAAUCAAUCUUACACAUCUAUGUUUUGCAGAUGGCUUGCUUAUUUUUGUGAAAGGUAGGGUGGAUUCUAUUGUAGGAGUUAAGUGCUUAAUAGAGCAAUUUUAUAAAGUUUUUCAGGAUUGCAGUUAAAUUCUUCAAAGAGUGAAGUGUUGGUCGGCUGGAAUGGUUGAUUCACAAUUGCAGGAAGUUAAAGAGAGGAGUGGAUUUAGCUUGGGUCAGCUACCUGUGAGAUAUCUUGGAGUCCUUGUUACCAGUUAAUUUACGGAGAAAGCUUGUGCACCCCUUUUAGAUAAAAUUUCUUUCCUACGCAAGUAGAGUGCAACUUAUUCAAGCUAUACAUUUUAAUGUACAGAACUUUUGGGUUAGGCACUCUAUCCUUCUCAUAGCAAUAAUUAAGAAGACCAAUCAAUUGUGUCAGAAAUUCUUAUGGGAGAGGAAUGGAGUUAAUAUGCAUAUUAUGGGCCGGGCCGGGUCGGGUUAGGUUUGAAGCAAAAUUUUAGGUUUGCUUUCUAGAUUUGGGUUCUGCCCAAAACAUGAGUUUAACAUUCUGUCUAAGCUUGACUUAAAUUAAAAAUGCUAAAUCCGAG
rnacentral:lncRNA from 1 species